CUGCUCUCUCUGGCCGUGGGGCCAGCGGGGUCCAGGACCCCUCUGGGCGCCUACCCAGUAUUUUCUGGGAAGAGGGCUCCUGCGGUCCCGCUGACUACCCAGGGAAAGACCAGAACCUGCUGGAACUACGGACAAAAGAAGGGAGCAGAGAUCUUCAGUGGACAAAAGAAGCAACUUGAGCCUUCGACCAACUAAAGAAAGCCCUUAUGUCAGCUCCAGCCCUGGGACUUCCAAAUCUUCCUUCCUCAGCGGGAGUAUGGGAGAACCAGUGAUCCAUGAUUGCCUGGAGACCAUUGAAGCCACCUACUCCAGCCACCCGGAUCUGAAGGACACUCUGCUUGAGGAUGCUGAGACCUGGUUUACUGAUAGAAGCAGCUAUGUCAUCAGUGGGAAAAAGCAUGCUGGGUAUGCAGUUACCACAAGCAAGGAGGUAAUAGAGUCUAGACCAUUAACAUCUACAUGGACUCAAGGUAUGCAUUCGGAGUGGUUCAUGCUCACGGAGCCAUCUGGAAGGAAAGAGGACUGCUGAAUUCACAAGGCAAGAGUAUUAAACACGCACAAGAGAUACUGAGGCUAUUAGAUGCCAUACAACUACCUGAGAGAGUAGCCAUAAUGCACAUAAAGGCACACCAAAAAGUGAGCUCUGAAUUAGAAGAAGGGAAUAUGCUGGUGAACAGAGAGGCAAAAGACGCAGCAA